GAUGAACGCUGGCGGCGUGCUUAACACAUGCAAGUCGAACGAGGUUAAUUGAGCGGAUUAUUUCGGUAUGAAGCACUUUUAACUGAGUGGCGGACGGGUGAGUAACGCGUGGGCAACCUGCCUCAUUCAGGGGGAUACCAGUUGGAAACGACUGUUAAUACCGCAUAAGCGCACAGCUCCGCAUGGAGCGGUGUGAAAAGCUCCGGCAGAAUGAGAUGGGCCCGCGUCUGAUUAGCUAGUUGGUGAGGUAACGGCCCACCAAGGCGACGAUCAGUAGCCGACCUGAGAGGGUGACCGGCCACAUUGGGACUGAGACACGGCCCAAACUCC
rnacentral:rRNA from 1 species